rnacentral:tRNA from 1 species
UCUUCCAUGGCGCAAUUGGCUAGCGCGUCCGACUGUUAAUCGGGAGGUUCACAGUUCAAGCCUGUGUGGAAGAG